GUCAAGCCAACUUUGAGGAUAGCAGUUGAUCUCCAUGUAAAGUUACUGUAAACAUUAUUACCAGCAGAUGGCGUUCAUGAGGGAGUUUUUUUUUAUUUUAAUCCAGCGAGGAAUUGCGAACGGGAUACCAAUGAGCAGUGUUGGCAGGACUUGGAGCCAAAGUACUCCUGACAAAGGAUUUCCUCACAGGCUCACAAGAGAAAGGUCCACGCACAGAUACAGCUGCCUGACUCUUCCCCGCCAGGAGUCGGCUACUUGUGGCGGCGCUUUUCUGUGCGCGAGAAGGCUCUGUGGUUAGUGGACUGUGGCUAACUGGCUGGAAUAUGACAGAGAAAAACGGGACGCUCUGAACAUUAAGGACAAAAGAGAGGGGAGAGAGCUAUUGUUGCAAUGAAGGAUCUACAACAGCGAAACAACAAAGUAUAGGCGAUAACUUCGUUUUAUUGCCCCCUAUUGUGUUUUCCUUGGAGAUGCAUGGACGGACGUGUCAGUGAAAUUGUAUUGAGGGUCUAUGUACAUUUCUGUUUGCAAAUCGUCUGAACAAAGGAUACGUUUCGGAAUUUCGGAUGUUUGUUUGGACCUACAAACGAGAAGGAAAACAGGGGGGGUCACACGCAGAGGAAAACACGAAAAUCUAAUUGUAAAGACAUCGUGUAUCUCGGAGUGACCAGACUGACAUCGAAAGUCCUCAGAGGAGAAUGGGAAAAGGAGCCACGUCUGAGCAGUAAACAUGCAUCCUCAGCAAAAAGAAAGAGAGCCACCGCUGUUCAGUGCCAAAGCGCACGUCUUCCAGAUCGACCCAGUAACCAAGCGGAACUGGAUACCUGCCAGCAAGCACGCCGUCACUGUCUCAUUUUUCUACGAUGCCACCCGCAGUGUGUACCGGAUCAUCAGUGUGGGAGGAACCAAGGUGACACACACACACACACAC